UACGUAGGGACCAAGCGUUGUUCGGAUUUACUGGGCGUAAAGGGCGCGUAGGCGGCAUGACAAGUCACUUGUGAAAUCUCCGGGCUUAACUCGGAACGGCCAAGUGAUACUGUCAAGCUAGAGUGCAGAAAGGGCAAUCGGAAUUCUUGGUGUAGCGGUGAAAUGCGUAGAUAUCAAGAGGAACACCUGAGGCGAAGGCGGGUUGCUAGGCUGACACUGACGCUGAAGCGACGAAAGCCAGGGGAGCAAACGGG
rnacentral:rRNA from 1 species